rnacentral:rRNA from 1 species
CAUCGCCUCUUGUAGACUAAACAUAAGAGGUCCCGCCUGCCCGGUGACCCUGGGUUAAACGGCCGCGGUAUUUUAACCGUGCGAAGGUAGCGCAAUCACUUGUCCUUUAAAUGAAGACCUGUAUGAAUGGCUAGACGAGGGCUUAGCUGUCUCCUCCCCCCAGUCAAUGAAAUUGAUCUCCCCGUGCAGAAGCGGGGAUACUAGCAUAAGACGAGAAGACCCUAUGGAGCUUUAGACACUAGGCAGCCCACGUCAAACUUCCCCUUUCAAGGGGCAAAAACAUUGUGAUUCCUGUCUCUCCUGUCUUCGGUUGGGGCGACCGCGGAGGAUAAAAGAGCCUCCAUGUGGACCGAGGUUACUAGCCUCACAACUAAGAGCUGCAGCUCCAAGCACCAGAAAUUCUGACCAAAAUGAUCCGGCACAGCGCCGAUUAACGGAACAAGUUACCCUAGGGAUAACAGCGCAAUCCUCUCCCAGAGUCCCUAUCGACGAGGGGGUUUACGACCUCGAUGUUGGAUCAGGACAUCCUAUUGGUGCAGCCGCUAAUAAGGGUUCGUUUGUUCAACGAUUAAAGUCCUACGUGAUCUGA